rnacentral:rRNA from 1 species
AGGACGAACGCUGGCGGCGUGCUUAAUACAUGCAAGUCGAGCGAGAAGCCACUUCUCCGUAAGGAGAGGUGGUGGAAAGCGGCGAACGGGUGAGUAACACGUGGAUAACGUGCCCUGAACUCUGGGAUAACAGCGGGAAACCGCUGC